UACGUAGGGGGCAAGCGUUGUCCGGAUUUAUUGGGCGUAAAGAGCUCGUAGGCGGUCUGUCGCGUCGGCUGUGAAAACUCGGGGCUCAACCCCGAGCCUGCAGUCGAUACGGGCAGACUAGAGUGCGGUAGGGGAGACUGGAAUUCCUGGUGUAGCGGUGAAAUGCGCAGAUAUCAGGAGGAACACCGGUGGCGAAGGCGGGUCUCUGGGCCGUAACUGACGCUGAGGAGCGAAAGCGUGGGGAGCAAACAGG
rnacentral:rRNA from 1 species